GAAAAUGAUGAAAUUUUGUGAUUUUUCUUCAAACACUGUAAAAAUCAAAAUUUCUGCACAUGAAUAAGUAACAUUAAAACUGGAGCUAUUAGGUCAAUUAUGUUGAAAAAUUAUUGAAAUUGUAUUAAAAAGAUAUUCUAUCAACAUAAGAUAUGAAUAUAUGGAAGGGGCAAAUAGGUUUACCCCUGUUAACAAAAUUAUAAAUACAAGUUGGCAUCUGGUUGUUCCUAAGUCAUUUUGUAAGUCACAAUAUCAUUUACAGAUGAACUCAAAGAAACACAUCUUUGGAUUUUCAUGAAACUUAAUCAACAAACACCCAAAGGAAUGAGGAGAAAAGAAAUUGAUUCAAAUUUGGCUCUGUAGAUCAAAGGUCAUGGUCACAAUAUAUACAGAUAAUAGCAAUUUUUCAUAUUUUUUUUAAAAGUUUUUCAUAUAACAGCACCUUCAAACAAAUCAAGUUUUCAUUAAAAUAUAUGGUACAAACAUGCACCUAACCAACAAGAGGAAACAGUCUCUUAUCAGUUUCAGGCUCUGUAGUAGCCUUAAAGGUCAAAAGUCAAGGUCACAACUUACUUUAAGACAACAGCAUUUGAUAUUUUGUAUUUUUUCACAAGGAAAAUUAGAGGGUAAAUGAUUUAAAUUUGUACAAAAC
rnacentral:lncRNA from 1 species